AGAAGAAGCCGACAAAGGAAGCAAUAGGAUUGCCUGAAGGCAAUUAGGAAGGGCCGACCAGUCACCAGCCGACGAGGAGGCAAAGCAGCAGCAGGAACACAGUCGUGGAUGGGGCGACGUUGCGGCAUUCGUCGCCUUGGAAAGGUACGUGGGGAAAGCGGAAAACAUAACAAAAACAAACAAGCAAAAAAAAAACGUACAACGCCACUCCGUUGCCUUCCAACAAAUACACAGAGGCACGCGCUGGCACCCGACCGUCACACACAACUAAACACAGGCGUUCAUGAACUACUUCGGUCAGUGGUCCAAUCUAGAGCUGCUGCGCCAGGAUGGUAGCAAGCGUCUGGCCGCAGACGUGCUCCGUGACGUGCCGUACGUCGUGCUGUUCUUUGGCGCCUCGUGGAGCCCCGAGUGCGAUGCCUUCAUAGAUGUCAUUGGCAACUUCUACGAGGCACAUCACGAGGUAAAAGGGUUCGAGGUGGUGUACAUCUCCCGCGACUAUAGCCGUGCAGAGAUGAUGAAAAGCUUCUUGCUGAGUGAACGCGCCUCUGCGGCUGCGCAGAGGCGCGCGUAUCAGGUGCGCAAGGAGGAGCGAGCGCACCGCCGUCUGAGCGCAGAGGAUGGCCAAGAGGGAGAGAAAAAGCCGACCGUCGCGGCGGACGUGCAAGAAGGCGCGAAUUGCCAACACCUCAAUGGACAGGACACCAACAGCUUCUUGGAGCACCGCAAAGUUUCUUCGAGGAACAGCACCUCUCCCUCCUCCAUACCUCCGCCGUUGAAGCGCGUGGCGGAGCUGACGGUCAACACCGCCGCGAGUGGUCUGGCCGGUGCCUCUGUCAAUCCGCUGAUGCCGUGCGGCCGGCGUGGCUUCUGGGCUGUGCCGUACGACCACGUCGGCUGCGUUGGCGUUCCCAUUCUCUACCACCUUCGCGUCUUUACCUACCCUGGCGUGAUUGUGUGCCGCAACAAGCGGUUCAGUGCGGACUUGAGACCUGCGCUACUACCACCUCUGCCUGCGGUCCACCAGGCACCAGCGGAGCACUCCUUGACUCUGCCGCCCGAGAUUUGGCCGCCCGGGGGGUCAGAGACGCAGUCGGCGCAGCCGUCGCUCUCGUCGCCCAUCGAUCGCGCCAAUGCACCGCAGAGACGGCAGAAGACACCGAUGGUGGCGCGGCCCGAGUGCUACCCCGACGUGGUCACCAUUGCCGGUCGCUUCAUGAUUGAGCGGGAUCCCAGCGGGGAGGACUUCCCGUGGGACAGGAUGAACGCAAAGACCCGUUUGGCAGCGCUGGUGUUCUUUGUGAUUGUGGCGGUGCUCACCGUGACAGUUCUCUCGUGGGCGCUUCCGAUCUCUCAGUUUAAGCGGCGGACGGCUUUGAAGGCACCGGCAGAGCUGUAGCGUUCGCACACACGCACGCCAAGCAGGCCGGCGUGACAGGGAAGAGGAUGGGGCGGGGUUGAAGCUUCCAUCUACAGUUAGAGAGGUGGUCUCUUUCGCUCCCUCUCGCCCUCCCCCCUCUUGCUCGUGUCAGUGCGGUCGUUGCCGUGGCCAGGCCGCUGUGCCUCCAGGCGCAGACAUCUUCCGUUUCCUUUCGUUCGCCCCUCCUUUUUCGUUUUUGUUUUGAUCUCUGCAUCUCUCUCCCUGUGUGUGCGUGCCCGUGCCCUUCAUCUUCGCGGUUGAGGGCUACGCCGCGCCGCACGUAACUAUGGGAAAGAGGAGGAAGGAGAUAUAAGUAGCGCCCCGCGGAUCUGCGCAGAGCAUCCGUGCGUAUGCGCGACUGAGUGUGAGAGGCAGAUGGCCACCGCAGACACUUCGCCCGUGUCCUUUCCUCCCCGUUUCUCCCGCUUCACUCCUCUCUACGCUUGCCAUCGCCGCUGCUGCUGGUGACGGCCGCUGUGAUUGGGUGGGGUGUGGGACGGGGGAGGAGGGGGCCCUUCGGCCUGCAUUCAGCGCAUGACAGAGUUCACGCUCGCUAACAUAGACACAAACCACUCCGAUGUACUUCGUGACCGCCGACUGGAAAUCCACGUGCGCACGCAUACACGGUUGUGAGUGUAUACACAUGAAUCUCUCUCGAGAGUGACCACCGGAUCUUUGUUUUGCUCAGUGGUGUUACGGUGUGCGCGAGCAUUACCAGAUUGGAGUGGCCAACCGCAUCAUGUGAUUCUCGACAGGGUGUUCUCCUUUCCCCCUCGCUCUCUGGCUCUGACGUCACGAUCCUUCACUCCUGCUUGACCUUCACUUCUCCAUUACUUCCUUUCUCUGGCUACAUGCUGUGAGUGGAUUCUAUGCGGCGAUGUAUGUACAUAAG
rnacentral:misc_RNA from 1 species